rnacentral:tRNA from 1 species
GGGAAGGUGACUGCGCCUGGGGGCGUAGGCUGUCUUGAAAACAGAGCGAACGGGGGACCGUUUGGGGUUCGAUUCCUCCGCCUUCCUU